UGCCGCGUGUAUGAAGAAGGCCUUCGGGUUGUAAAGUACUUUCAGUUGUGAGGAAGGGUGUGUAGUUAAUAGCUGCACAUCUUGACGUUAGCAACAGAAGAAGCACCGGCUAACUCCGUGCCAGCAGCCGCGGUAAUACGGAGGGUGCGAGCGUUAAUCGGAAUUACUGGGCGUAAAGCGCAUGCAGGUGGUUCAUUAAGUCAGAUGUGAAAGCCCGGGGCUCAACCUCGGAACUGCAUUUGAAACUGGUGAACUAGAGUGCUGUAGAGGGGGGUAGAAUUUCAGGUGUAGCGGUGAAAUGCGUAGAGAUCUGAAGGAAUACCAGUGGCGAAGGCGGCCCCCUGGACAGACACUGACACUCAGAUGCGAAAGCGUGGGGAGCAAACAGGAUUAGAUACCCUGGUAGUCCACGCCGUAAACGAUGUCUACUUGGAGGUUGUGGCCUUGAGCCGUGGCUUUCGGAGCUAACGCGUUAAGUAGACCGCCUGGGGAGUACGGUCGCAAGAUUA
rnacentral:rRNA from 1 species